rnacentral:rRNA from 1 species
CAGUCGCCACGGUAAGACAAAGGAUGCAAGCGUUAUCCGGAAUGAUUGGGCAUAAAGCGUCUGUAUGUGGCUUUUCAAGUCCGCCGUCAAAUCCCCGGGCUCAACCCUGGACAGGCAGUGGAAACUACCAAGAUGGAGUACGGUAGGGGCAGAGGGAAUUUCCGGUGGAGCGGUGAAAUGCGUUGAGAUCGGAAAGAACACCAACGGCGAAAGCACUUUGCUGGGUCGACACUGACACUGAGAGACGAAAGCUAGGGGAGCAAAUGGGAUUAGAUACCCCCGUAGUCCCUGUCUCUUAUAC